rnacentral:rRNA from 1 species
UACGGGGGGGGCAAGCGUUGUUCGGAAUUACUGGGCGUAAAGGGUUUGUAGGUGGCCUGCUAAGUCAGACGUGAAAUCCCUCAGCUUAACUGGGGAACUGCGUCUGAGACUGGUAGGCUCGAGGACAGGAGAGGAACGCGGAAUUCCAGGUGUAGCGGUGAAAUGCGUAGAUAUCUGGAGGAACACCGGUGGCGAAGGCGGCGUUCUGGACUGUUUCUGACGCUGAGGCGCGACAGCGUGGGGAGCAAACAGG